AUUGAACGCUGGCGGCAGGCCUAACACAUGCAAGUCGAGCGGAGCGGCGGACGGGUGAGUAAUGCCUAGGAAUCUGCCUGGUAGUGGGGGAUAACGUCCGGAAACGGGCGCUAAUACCGCAUACUAUCAGAUGAGCCUAGGUCGGAUUAUCUAGUUGGUGGGGUAACGGCCCACCUAGGCGACGAUCCCUAGCUGGUCUGGGAGGAUGACCAGUCACACUGGAACUGGGACACGGUCCAGACUCCUACGGGAGGAAGCAGUGGGGAAUAUUGCACAAGGGGCGCAAGCCUGAGGCAGCCAGGCCGCGUGUAUGAAGAAGGCCGUCGGGUUGUAAAGUACUUUCAGCGGGGAGGCGUUACCCGCAGAAGAAGCGCCGGCUAACUCCGUGCCCGCAGCCGCGGUAAUAC
rnacentral:rRNA from 1 species